GGAGGAAAGCAGGGGAUCGUAAGACCUUGUGCUUUUGGAGCGGCCGAUGUCUGAUUAGCUAGUUGGUGGGGUAAAGGCCUACCAAGGCGACGAUCAGUAGUUGGUCUGAGAGGACGACCAGCCACACUGGGACUGAGACACGGCCCAGACUCCUACGGGAGGCAGCAGUGGGGAAUUUUGGACAAUGGGCGCAAGCCUGAUCCAGCAAUGCCGCGUGAGUGAAGAAGGCCUUCGGGUUGUAAAGCUUUUUCAGUCGAGAAGAAAAAGCUGCAGUGAAUAACUGUAGUUCAUGACGGUAUCGACAGAAGAAGCACCGGCUAACUACGUGCCAGCAGCCGCGGUAAUACGUAGGGUGCGAGCGUUAAUCGGAAUUACUGGGCGUAAAGGGUGCGCAGGCGGCUUUGUAAGUCAGAUGUGAAAUCCCCGGGCUUAACCUGGGAAUUGCGUUUGAAACUACAAAGCUAG
rnacentral:rRNA from 1 species